UCUCUGGUGGCUCAGAUGGCAAAGAAUCCGCCUGCAAUGCAGGAGACCCAGGUUAGAUUCCUGGGUCAGGGAG
rnacentral:tRNA from 1 species